rnacentral:rRNA from 1 species
UAGGCGCACGGGUGAGUAACACGUAGGUAAUGUACCUUUGGGUGGGGAAUAACUUAGGGAAACUUAAGCUAAUACCGCAUAAUGCGAUAACUUCUUCGGAAGAUUUUGUUAAAGAUUUAUCGCCUAAAGAGCAGCCUGCGGCAGAUUAGCUAGUUGGUAAGGUAACGGCUUACCAAGGCUACGAUCUGUAUCCGACCUGAGAGGGUGGUCGGACACACUGACACUGAAUAACGGGUCAG